UGUGGGUGACACGCAACAUGUUGAAAGCCAUACCGGAGUUUGCAUUUCUCGCUUCAUCCACCUGGGAAGACACAGGCGUACUGCCCCGACUCGCAGGUCACCCCGAUUUUUAAAUUUCCUGUUCCAUCACCACUGGCCGCUCUCUCUCACGAUCCUGAGUCCUCGGCACCAGUAACUGAUCUUCGUCCACCCCCAGCGCCACGCGUGGUACAGCCCAGUGGAGCCCGCUCCGGGCACAGGUUAUAAAAGCUCGGUUGCGGCAGCCCACUGCGGAGUCAAGAUGCGUCCGAAGGAACAGGUGCAGAGCACUGCCGGGGACGGGACGGGGUCGGGGGACCCAGCAGCAGGGACCCCCGCGACCCAGCCUGCCGCCAAUCCGGCCCCGGAGCCCUCGGCGGAGCCCAAACCUGCUCCGGCGCAGGGAACCGGGUCCGGACAGCGAGCUCCAGGAUCUCGCACCAAGACAGGAAGCUUUUGUCGGUCCAUGAUAAUCGGCAAUUCGGACGCGCCAUGGACCCGCUACGUAUUCCAGGGGCCUUAUGGUCCCCGGGCCACUACCCUGGGCAAAGGAAAGGCCGAGGGAAUCUGGAAGACGCCAGCCGCGUACAUCGGCCGGAGGCCCGGCGUGUCCGGCCCUGCGCGCGCGGCGUUUAUUCAAGAGCUACAGGAAGCACUGUGCCCUAACCCACCCCCCACGAAGAAGAUCACGGAAGAUGAUGUGAAAGUGAUGCUCUAUUUGUUGGAAGAGAAAGAACGGGACCUGAGCACAGCCGCUCGCAUCGGCCAGUCCCUGGUGAAACAGAACAGUGCUUUGAUGGAGGAGAAUAACAAACUGGAAACGAUGCUGGGCUCAGCCAGGGAGGAGAUCUUACAUCUCCGGAAGCAGGUAAACCUGCGAGACGACCUCCUUCAGCUCUACUCGGACUCUGAUGAGGAGGAGGAGGAGGAAGAGGAGGAAGAAGAGGGGGAAGAGGAGGACCAUGAAGGAAAGCGGGAUCAAGACAGGCGGCAUGAUCAUCCUUAUGGUGCCCCCAAGCCGCCCCCUAAGGUGGAGUCACAGCACCACUGCCCACAGCUGGAAGCCCUGCAGCAGAAGCUGAAGCUGCUGGAGGAGGAGAAUGAACACCUGCGGGAGGAGGCCUCCCACCUUGACAACCUGGAAGACGAGGAGCAGAUGCUCAUUCUGGAGUGCGUGGAGCAGUUUUCUGAAGCCAGCCAGCAGAUGGCAGAGCUCUCGGAGGUGCUGGUGCUCAGGCUGGAGGGCUACGAGCGGCAGCAGAAGGAGAUCACCCAGCUGCAGGCCGAGAUCACCAAGCUACAACAGCGUUGUCAGUCUUAUGGAGCCCAGACGGAGAAACUGCAGCAACAGCUGGCUUCUGAGAAGGGAGUCCACCCAGAGCAGAGCCUGCGAGGGAGCUCCCACGUGCAGGAUUAUGGGAGCAGGCUUCGUGAGCGCCAGGAGGAUGGGAAAAGCCAGCGCCAGCGCUCCUCGGGUUCCGUCACCCACUACGGAUACAGUGUGCCUCUGGACGCACUUCCGAGUUUCCCAGAGACAUUGGCUGAGGAGCUCCGAACAUCUCUACGGAAGAUCAUCACUGACCCUGCCUAUUUCAUGGAGAGAUGCGACAUCCGCUGUAAGGAGGAGCGAGAGCAGGGGAAGGGGGUGGCGCCACCGCCCCCACCACCGCAAGAUCUCAAGCCGCCUGAAGAUUUCGAGGCUCCGGAGGAGCUGGUGCCUGAGGAGGAGCUGGGGGCCAUUGAGGAGGUGGGGACGGCUGAGGAAGGGCUUGCCGAAGAGGCAGAGCAGGCGUCUGAGGAGACCGAGGCCUGGGAGGAGGUGGAACCAGAGCUGGAUGAGGCCACGAGGAUGAAUGUGGUGGCCUCUGCCCUGGAGGCCAGUGGCCUGGGCCCUUCACACCUGGACAUGAAGUACGUCCUCCAGCAGCUGUCCAGCUGGCAGGAUGCCCACGCUAAGCGACAGCAGAAGAAGCAGAAGGGGGCCCCGAAAGACUCCCCACCGGCCCUGCAGCAAAAAAAUCUGGGGGGCGGGAUCGUGGAGCAGCAGCAGCCCGGGGUGCAGACCCAGGACUCGCAGAGGCUGGAGCAGGAGAGGGCCACUCACUCUCCCAGUCCCAGGGAGGAAGAGGGGCCUUCUGGGGCCACCUAGGCCUGGGACGAAGGCCUCUGCCAGCAAGGGCCACAGGCGGACCAGUCCCCCCGGGCGUUGCUCUUCCCCAGCAGCCUGCAGAGGCCCCACAGAUAGCUUGAGACCCCUCCUUGUACUGCCUGGCUAAGUCACACCCUUUCUUCCCUUUUCUGAACCGACCUCACGUCUGUCAGCAGGCCUGUCUCUGUCCUGACAGGCCUGGGCCCAAGCCUCCACCCUCUCCUAGGACAGGCUGAAAGAACCCUACUCCUUCAUUCCGAAACUGGCGCCAAAGCUGUGGCUCCUGGGGCCCCAGUGGCGGAAGCAACCUGUGGGCAGACUGGCUGGGUACCAGACCCAGCUCUGAGAUGGGUGUGAGUGGGUGUGGGGGGGCAGGUCCUUAGGGUAGGCAGUUAUUGGGAGGACCCCCUCUACCGCUUAAACUGCUCACAUAAAGGGACCUCCCCAGCCCUGGUUGGCUUUCGAACCCGGCUCUUUCUGCUGUCCCUCAUCCUCCUGUUCCUAUUGCCGUGUGUAACGUGAAGUGUAUCUGAGUGGGGGUGGUGGAGGGGUCCCUCCCCCAGUGGUGUCUCAGUCUCCUGUGGCCUGUGAGUUCCCCUGGAGUUCUGCCCUUUCCUACAUCUUUGCUCAUCCAUAGCUGUGGCCUCGGUCCCUGCCCCUGCAGUGCCUCAAAGUCUUGUAGCUUGUCAGCCUUUGUAUUGAUGUGUGUGCCAACGUGGAAAUAAAGAACUUGUGAGCUACCCG